UUCCCUUCUCAGCCUUUGGGCUAAGAUAAAGUGUGGAUUCUUAUGUUUAUCAAUUUAACAUCUAAUGUAUCCCCUCUAUGAGGACAACUUACUAAAUGACUUUUAGAAAUAUUAGGACAUGCGAACCUGGUUCAUCAACUGAAUGCAUUGCCUUGAUAUUGUGAUGCUUCUAGGAGUUGUACAUUAAAA